GAAUGUACUGAAUUUGGUCAAAGGUUAUUGUCUGAAUGUCAAGGGGAAGAAAGCAAAGAAUUGAAUGUUUAAGUUUAUAAAAAUUUAUAUUUUCUCUCUUAAAUUUAGAUUCAUUUAAUAACAGCCAAGAUACUGGCGCCAGUACAUCAGACGAUCUCCAGGAUGUUGUCCAAUUAAGCGUAGGAUCCUUGGAAGAAGCAUGCAAACAACCUGAAAGGAAAUCAAUUACAAAAUAUGAGGGUGGGGAUCUUCUAGAACUACAGGGGUCACCACUAGAUCAACGACCAUUGCUAGCAGAGGACAACAAAUUUAUUCCAAUACCAGAUAACACAACUAAUAAAUUGUUUAGUCGGAAAGGAAUGGUAACUCCUUCCUUGAACUUAGAUUCGUUCAACAGCGACCCAGAAACAGACAGUCUCCAAAAUCGUGUCCAUCUUAGUUUGGGAUCCUUGAACGGUUCAUACGCAAUACAUAAAAGCAUCUUUAGUUCCGAAUCUGUGGGUAAUUUAGAUCUCAGUGAGCAGCUAAUUGACUCCAGUUUGUGAAAAUCCUCUCUGCUAGAAUUUACAUAUACAGAUGCUGACG